rnacentral:rRNA from 1 species
UACGUAGGGUGCGAGCGUUAAUCGGAAUUACUGGGCGUAAAGCGUGCGCAGGCGGUUCGUUGUGUCGGUGGUGAAAGCCCCGGGCUUAACCUGGGAAUGGCCAUGGAACUGGCGAACUGGAGUGUGGCAGAGGGGGGUGGAAUUCCACGUGUAGCAGUGAAAUGCGUAGAUAUGUGGAGGAACACCGAUGGCGAAGGCAGCCCCCUGGGUCAAGACUGACGCUCAGUGCACGAAAGCGUGGGGAGCAAACAGG